rnacentral:rRNA from 1 species
UACGAAGGGGGCUAGCGUUGCUCGGAAUCACUGGGCGUAAAGGGUGCGUAGGCGGGUCUUUUAAGUCAGGGGUGAAAUCCCGGAGCUCAACUUCGGAACUGCCUUUGAUACUGAGGAUCUUGAGUUCGGGAGAGGUGAGUGGAACUGCGAGUGUAGAGGUGAAAUUCGUAGAUAUUCGCAAGAACACCAGUGGCGAAGGCGGCUCACUGGCCCGAUACUGACGCUGAGGCACGAAAGCGUGGGGAGCAAACAGG